AUACUCUGUAAAACAUGAGAUUUUUUCUUAAUUCUCAAAAGAUUAAGAAAACUCGUGACGUAUCAAUUUAAUACUUCAAUGUUAUGUUAUUUUAGAUUAAAAGAGCCUCGUGUCUUAGACCCAAACCCGACAAGAACUUUUUUUAUUUCACGCCUGUUCGUCAUUUCUGUGUGAAGGUAAAGGAAUCACGUUUUCCUCUGAGGGUUCAUAACUGUUGACGACUGCGCAUCCGGCUCUGUAUCCGAUCUUCAACAGGUGAUCGAGGCGGCCUCCUCAUCAAAGCGACAGUAACGGUGCGACGCACAGAGCGCGAUUGUUCUUCGCGGUGGCUCCUCCCUGCGUUCAGAGUCUGUGUUCCUGCAAAUGAGCGCUGUGCAGAAAGCGCUACAGCAUGGGGAAGUCCGAUUCAUUUGAAAGAAUCGAUUCGCUCGGACGGUUCGUUUCAAAUUAAGCUUUCAAAAAAGAUUCGACCUGUUCCAGUCGCCGCGUGGCUUUUUACGUUUGUUCGGAAAUUCUCUUGUUAGCCACCAAGUGUUCGAAAGCUGUAGAGAUAUUCUAAAAGAUUUGAGUCAAAUGCUGUGCUUUUUGGUUUGAGAGCAGGAAGUGUUCGUUGUAACACCAUUAGUUUAACAACUAGACAUGAGCCACAUGGAGAAAUUACUAAUGCGCUUUCAAUUUUUUAACUCUCUCCAACGAUAAAAAGCUUUAACGAUAUUCAAUUUCGUCGUGUCCUAAUUUUUUCGCUUUUAUUUAACCUGUUCAAAAUGAGGUGGGUUGGGAAUAAUGAAGGAUAAUAAUGAUGUUGAACUACAUCUGAUUUAAUAAGGCAAUCAAUCACCAGUGUGAGACGCGUCUACCUUACCGCGCGUGAAUCGGCUCAAUCGAAUCCCUAAAAAGAACCUGUUCAAAACAACGAUUCGGUCACGAAUCGGGCAUCACCAAAGCGCAGUCCGAACUCAGUCCCUCUCUUCAGCGGCAAGACUGAAGGGAUCAGAGAACCCACGUAGCACCAGAGCACAGUCCACCGGCUCAUCUCAGUAUGUGGCAGAGAACUAUGUGGUGCUGAAGGAGGACGACAAAACAGACGGAGGUCGGCAAAUCUCAGGGUCGCCAAACUGCCCGUUCCUGGACAAAUUAAACGGGAGGCUCUCCAUAUUUAUGAUCCCUGGUUGUCCACAUCUUUGAACUGCCCAUCCUCCACCUCCAAGUGUCAGCAUCCACGUAGAAGUGAAGCCCCCAUGGCUCCAGAAUUCUGUGAGUCACUUUGGUGAGCGUGGGGCUGUCAGAGGGCAGAAGACAUGUUGGGACAGAGGGCUGGGCACUGCACUGAAGCUUGCUGUAGUAACCAUGGAAACGGUGUGGAGGAGUUUGGCCUUUGUUGGCAUCAUGGCCAUGGUUGCCAGUGGAGUGGCAGAGAGUUGGAGUCCUGAGGAGUUUGCUCAGUCUCAAGGUGAGAUUCCUGAUUGUUUUAUUGCAAUUAAGUUUAAGUAAAUGGUGUGAAAAAUAAGUGUUAAUUUCAUUCUGACAACCGUUUGCUGCCGAUAAAGUGCAUUGAAGUGGGCAGCUGCCAUCCUGCUUCUUGUACCGUUCAAAAGUUCUGAAAGGAGUCUCUCAUACGCACCAAAGCUGCAUUUAUUGAUCAAAGAUACAGUAAAACACUAAUAUUGUGAAAUAUUCUUAGAUUUUAAAAUAGCUGUUUUCUAAUAUAUUUAAAAAAUAUAUUUAUUUAUGUGUCUGCAAAUCUAAAUAUUCUGAUUUGCUGCUCAGUUUCUUAUUGUUAUCAAUGCUGAAAGCUGUUGUGCUGCCUAAUAUUUU
rnacentral:lncRNA from 12 species